CCUACGGGAGGCAGCAGUCGAGAAUCAUUCACAAUGGGGGAAACCCUGAUGGUGCGACGCCGCGUGGGGGAAUGAAGGUCUUCGGAUUGUAAACCCCUGUCAUGUGGGAGCAAAUUAAAAAGGUAGUACACCAAGAGGAAGAGACGGCUAACGCGGUGCCAGCAGCCGCGGUAAUACAGAGGUCUCAAGGGUUGUUCGGAAUCACUGGGUGUAGAGCGUGCGUAGGCUGUUUCGUACGUCGUGUGUGAAAGGCGCGGGCUCAACCCGCGGACGGCACAGGAUACUGCUGGACUAGAGUUAAGGAGGGGGAAGCGGAAUUCUCGGUGUAGCAGUGAAAUGCGUAGAUA
rnacentral:rRNA from 1 species